ACUGGUGGAUUAUUUGCUAUUCUCACUUUUGAAAUGCCUGUAUAAGUCUUCUGCAACCUGGUUGAAUAUCAGGCAUUGAUGUUUUAUGAUCUCAAAUGGUGGAACAAGGGAGAUCAGUGUCCUUGCCCUGGGGAUCAGCCUGGGAGGCCCAAGGCUAGUUCUCAGAGCUGUGGAGUUCGGCACCCACUGGGUCCCAGGUUCCCACCUGAGCAGUUGUUCUCACAGGUAAGGCCUGAAUGCUCACAGCCACCUUGUGGUGCAGACACACAGAUAACUCCAUUCUACAGGCAGGGAGACUGAGCCUGGGAAGGAGGGAGGUGCCCACAGGUCCCAGCUUCUCACACACUGCAUGAACCACAGACCUUGGGAACAAGAUCUCAGGGAACAAUAACUCCAUGGAAACUUCCUCCCAGGCGGCUUCUGGUAUCAUCCCCACUUUACAGAGGAGGAAACUGAGGCUGAGAGAAGUGUAGUCUCCAGUUCUGUCUCCCACGUCAGCGGCAGAGCCAGAGCUGGGCCAGCACCUGCCCCGGAGCCUGUGCCCUCCUGAUCACCAGGUGAUAUGGCCUCUUAGGAUGCUCGCCACAGCCCCACGGAGCUCAGAGGUCCCUUUCUCAGAGGAGGAAACUGAGGCUGAGAGAGGUUUCGUCAAUUUCCGAGGUCACACAGGUGAUGAGUGGAAGAACCAGGGGUAGAAUUUAAAUCUCUUUGGCCCCCGAGCCCCGCUCUUCACCCCCGAGUCUGCCUGGGAUUCCUAGAAGAUGGAUGAGGUCAGCUUCCUCCCCUGCUCCCAUGGGAUUCCCAGGGCUCAUUGUGACAGCUUGUCACUGUAUCCACUUUGCAGAGGAGGAAACUGAGGCCCAGGAGCCCAUAUGAAGGGCCCAAGGCCACGCAGUGAGAAAACAACAGGAUUUAAACCCAAACUCAUGUGGCUCCAUGCCAGCUCUUGGCAAGACCCUCCCGACUCAGCCAUGUUCAGGGCCCUCCCUUGUUGGCCCUGCCAGCCUCUCUCUGCCGCAUCCGUAGGCUCCUCUGUCCAGUGAGGACAAGGAGCUGAGUGGAUGCACCCACUACCAGGCAUGGGACCUGGUAGAAGCAGGGAUUCAUGGCACAGUUAGAGCCUGAAUGAAUUAACUCAGGAACAAUAUGAUCCCUGAAGCAUCCAGAGAUUCAAACACUAGUGGGCAGCCCCACAGUCUGACCUCACAGUGCUGCAAUCACAGACCCUUGGUCCUUUUGGGAAAACAUCACACCACUUCUCUGUGCCAGUGUCUCUACCUGGUUCUGCCCCACCAUCCAUCCAUCCAUCCAUCCAUCACCCAUCCAUCCAUCCAUCCAUCCACCCAUCCAUCACCCAUCCAUCCAUCCAUCCAUCCAUCCAUCCAUCACCCAUCCAUCCAUCCAUCCACCCAUCCAUCACCCAUCCAUCCAUCCAUCCAUCCAUCCAUCAUCCAUCCAUCCAUCCAUCCAUCCAUCAUCCAUCACCCAUCCAUCCCUCCAUCCAUCCAUCCAUCCAUCCAUCCCUCCGUCCAUCCAUCCAUCCAUUUCUUUCACAUUUAUUGAACACACACUUACUGCUGUGUGUCUGGGACAGUCCUAGGUACUGGGAAUACAGCUGAGAACAAGACAGACAGGGCCCCAUCCUCCUGACAAGGGCAGACAAGAAACAAGAUGUCAGUAAGAGUUUUGCAAAAGAUUAAAUAGGAUGAAUGUGUUAGGGAGCUAAGGGGGUGCAGGUAUGAGGAGCACCCCCAUCCUGCAGUAGAGCCUGGAGUGAAACUCAUCAACAACCUGAUCCAAGGAUCCUCCAGUAUUCCAUACAUCUUCAGACUGUCCCCAG
rnacentral:lncRNA from 10 species